rnacentral:piRNA from 1 species
UAGCUCCAGUGUUUAAGAAAGUGACUG